GUGCCAGCAGCCGCGGUAAUACGUAUGGGGCAAGCGUUAUCCGGAUUCAUUGGGCGUAAAGCGCGCGUAGGCGGCUUGUUAAGUCAGAUGUGAAAACCGGGGGCUCAACCCGCGGCCUGCAUCUGAAACUGGCAGGCUUGAGUCUGGUAGAGGAAAGUGGAAUUCCGAGUGUAGCGGUGAAAUGCGCAGAUAUUCGGAGGAACACCAGUGGCGAAGGCGGCUUUCUGGGCCACGACUGACGCUGAGGCGCGAAAGCUAGGGGAGCGAACAGGAUUAGAAACCCCAGUAGUCC
rnacentral:rRNA from 1 species